CCUACGGGAGGCAGCAGUGGGGAAUAUUGCACAAUGGGGGAAACCCUGAUGCAGCGACGCCGCGUGAGUGAAGAAGGAUGGCGGGAGGUAAAGCUCUAGCAGCAGGGAAGAAAAUGACGGUACCUGAGGAAGAAGCCCCGGCGAACUACGUGCCAGCAGCCGCGGUAAUACGUAGGGGGCAAGCGUUAUCCGGAUUUACUGGGUGUAAAGGGAGCGUAGACGGGAGCACAAGUCUGGAGUGAAAUGCCGGGGCUUAACCCCGGAACUGCUUUGGAAACUGUGCAGCUAGAGUGCAGGAGAGGUCAGUGGACUUCCUCUUGUAGCGGUGACAUGCGUAGAUAUUAGGAG
rnacentral:rRNA from 1 species